AUUGAACGCUGGCGGCAGGCCUAACACAUGCAAGUCGAGCGGAUGAAGGGAGCUUGCUCCUGGAUUCAGCGGCGGACGGGUGAGUAAUGCCUAUGAAUCUGCCUGGUAUUGUGUUAUAACGUCCGGAAACGGGCGCUAAUACCGCAUACGUCCUGAUGGUGUAAGUGGGGGAUCUUCGUACCUCACGCUUUCAUAUGAUCCUAGGUCGGAUUAGCUAGUUGGUUUGGUAAAGGCCUACCAAGGCGACGAUCCGUAACUGGUAUGAGAGGAUGAUAAGUCACACUGGAAGUGAGACACGGAACAGAGUACUACGGGAGGCAGCAGUGGGGAAUAUUGGACAAUGGGCGAAAGCAUGAUACAGCAAUGCCGCGUGUGUGAAGAAGGUCUUCGGAUUGUAAAGCAAUUUAAGUUGGGAGGAAGGGAAGUAAGUUAAUACCUUGCUGUUUUGACGUUACCAAAAGAAUAAGCACCGGCUAACUUCGUG
rnacentral:rRNA from 1 species